GACGAACGCUGGCGGCGUGCUUAACACAUGCAAGUCGAACGGUGAAGGGACCGGUUUUUGCUGGUUCUGGAUGAGUGGCGAACGGGUGAGUAACACGUGAGUAACCUGCCCCCUUCUUCUGGAUAACCGCAUGAAAGUGUGGCUAAUACGGGAUAUUCUGCGCCUGCUGCAUGGUGGGUGUGGGAAAGAUAUUGUUUCGGUGGGGGAUGGGCUCGCGGCCUAUCAGCUUGUUGGUGGGGUGAUGGCCUACCAAGGCGGUGACGGGUAGCCUGCCUGAGAGGGUGGACGGUCACACUGGGACUGAGACACGGCCCAGACUCCUACGGGAGGCAGCAGUGGGGAAUAUUGCACAAUGGGCGCAAGCCUGAUGCAGCGACGCCGCGUGAGGGAUGGAGGCCUUCGGGUUGUAAACCUCUUUCGCCAGUGAAGCAGGCCUGUCCCUUUUGUGGGUGGGUUGACGGUAGCUGGAUAAGAAGCGCCGGCUAACUACGUG
rnacentral:rRNA from 1 species